rnacentral:tRNA from 1 species
GUUCUUGUAGUUGAAUGACAACGAUGGUUUUUCAUAUCAUUAGUCAUGGUUAGAUUCCAUGUAAGAAUACCA